CUAGUAACCAGCAGGUAGUCUAGUGGUUAGAGUGUUGGACUAGUAACCAGCAGGUAGCCUAGUGGUUAGAGUGUUGGGCCAGUAACCAGCAGGUAGCCUAGUGGUUAGAGUGUUGGGCCAGUAACCAGCAGGUAGCCUAGUGGUUAGAGCGUUGGGCCAGUAACCAGCAGGUAGACUAGUGGUUAGAGCGUUGGGCCAGUAACCAGCAGGUAGCCUAGUGGUUAGAGCGUUGGGCCAGUAACCAGCAGGUAGCCUAGUGGUUAGAGUGUUGGGCCAGUAACCAGCAGGUAGACUAGUGGUUAGAGCGUUGGGCCAGUAACCAGCAGGUAGCCUAGUGGUUAGAGUGUUGGGCCAGUAACCAGCAGGUAGACUAGUGGUUAGAGCGUUGGGCCAGUAACCAGCAGGUAGCCUAGUGGUUAGAGUGUUGGGCCAGUAACCAGCAGGUAGACUAGUGGUUAGAGCGUUGGGCCAGUAACCAGCAGGUAGCCUAGUGGUUAGAGUGUUGGGCCAGUAACCAGCAGGUAGUCUAGUGGUUAGAGUGUUGGGC